GCACGAUGUUGGAGGGUGACGGGGGAGCUGCGGUUUGAGGCACAAGGACAAGAGCUGAGAGUGAGAUGGGGACGGGACGUCUCUACACACGGUCCUCCGCCCACUGUGGUGGCCGCAAGGCCCCCUGGGCGGGAGACGAGACCAGGAGGCCGGGCGGGCCGGGAGAGGCCGCAGGCCACACGGACUCCGGCUCUGGCUCAUCCUCUGAAGCCCGCUCCCUGAACACAGCCCUUAGGAGACGCGGAGGCCCCGGCCAGGCCCUGCGCUCAGUCCCACGCGCUCCAGCCUGGGCCCCCAGCGUUUGCGGGGGUCCUUCCGCCAGGCCCUGUGGGGGAGACGUCAGCCUGGGGGGGACGGGGGACGGGGGGGGGCGGCCAGGACACAGACGGCAGGGUCUGUGGGUGAGGGCACGGCGGAUCAGCAGGAGACCGUGGGCUGGGCUGGGAGGGAGCCGGCCUGAGCAGCGGCAGCGAAGGACAGGUGAGAGGGGCCAGGACGGACACUGAGGCUGGGAAGAGGGCUCCUGGGGCACGUCCCCAAAGCAGACCCCGAGGGGAGGCGUCAGGGGCGCAGGCUGUGUCGGGGGUCCGCCCUCAGGAAAAGCCGUCAGGGAGAGGGAGGCUGGGCAGCGAGCGAGCUGUGGCUUCACAUGCCCAGCCUCGCCUGCACCGGGGGCCGGAGUGUGAAGGGACCUGGGGGUCCUGCUCAGGAGGAAAGGGGCUCGGCCGUCACCCCCACAGGCAUCCUGUCUGGCUUCUGCCCACCCCCGGCUGGAGGGAGGGUCCCUGGCGGAGGCGGCUUCCAUCCCCACAGACAGCCCCAGAGAGGGGCAGCCGUGCACCCUCAGCUGAGGGCUCUGGUUCAAAGGGAUGGGGGGGGGGGGGACACGCAGCAUCUACUCCAUGUGGCAGUCAUGGGGAGCACGGGCGCUCGGGCUGGCUGCUGCCGGCCCUGGUGAAGCAUGGACACCCAGGCCCUGGUUGUCCCAUGAUGUGGAGGAGAGGGCGGCUGGACCACAGUGGAGGCCCAGGGUGGAUGGGGACUAGAGCAGGACUGUGGCUCCCAUGGGACACGGCCAGGGCCCAGCACCAGGGGGUCUGCCCGGCCCAGGCCAGCACGGGGUCCGGGACACCCAGCGGGCGAGCCUCCGCAGCCUGGGGGAGCCCAGGCCUCCUGGCCGGGGCUGAGGGCAGGCAUGACUCCCGCUGCCCGCUCUUCCCUCCCUCUAACUGCAUGACGUGUGGACUGUGCACCAGGACGGGGCGUGGUGGGGACUGAGUAUGCUGACUGGAAUGAUUCUAGAACUGAAAUAAAGCUGAAGCGGGAAGGAGGGGGCUUCCCGGAGCCCCGCUCAGCCCGAACACCUUCUUCGUCUCUGCUCGAGGGACCAGGGGCUCGGGCCUGUGCCCUGCUGCCCUGCUGCCCUGCUGCGGGGCGCCCGGAGCUGGGGAGGGGCAGGGAGAGGCGGCCCCCAUAUGGUUUGGGAGGGCAUGACCAGGACAACACCAUCACACUGCUGGGAGACUCAGAGAAGGGGCCACGAGCCAGGCCUGGUGGGGAGGAUGGCAGUGGGAAAAUCAAGGAGGGCUUCCCGGCGGUGGUGCCAGCCUGAGCCUUGGGGCAAGAAGUGGCAGAAAGCCAAAGAGGGUGGAUGAGGCCCCAAAAGCAUUCCUGGCAGAGGGAGGAGCAUAUGGGAAAGUGCAGGAGCAGGGGCAGACAAAAGCUCAGCUGAUCCAUCAACCUUGCUAAAGCCCUUAGGGAGGAUGGGGGGGGAAGGAGCCGGAGGCAAGAUCUGGGGGGAGGGAGGGAGAGGGGCUGUAUGAGCCCCUGAAUGCUGCUGUGCAGCCUGCUACUCUAACACUUAGAGUAGGUACUGUGUCAUCUCCUUUUUGUAGCUAUGGAAACGGGAGCUCAGAGAGGUUAGGUCACGAGCCCAAGGUCACACAGCCUAAAAGGCUUAGAGCUGAGAUUCAGGCUCCAGAGCUCAUGCUCUUAACCACUGGGCAGCACUGCCCCCUCCCCAGCUCCUGAGGAGGGGGCUGAGGGCACACACAGGCUGCUCUGGAUCCCAGGCUGUUGUGGCUUCCCCCUCCCCGGACCUCCCCGGAAGGUCACAGCGAGCGUGGGAGGAGGAGGGUCUGGGUGGGCAGAUAAAGAGCUUGUGUGGGAGACCGGUGGCCAGCCCGCCAGGCCGUCGCAGGAGCCUGUGAAGGCUGGCCCCAGGGAAGCGCAGAGGGCGUGGAAACAUGAGCGGCUCUGCCGGGCAGGCAGGCUGGACACGCGGAGGCGGGAGAGGAUCCGCCAGGCGGGGGCGCUGCCGGCACAGUGUGGCCUGUGUCUGGGGACAGAGGCCAGGCGUGGCUGCGCUGAGGGUGGAGGCCGAAGGUCCUGGCCGUGGGGAGCCACAGAGGGAGGGAGGCGGGAGGGGGACACUCUAAGCAGCUGUGGAAACGAGGGACACCAGCAGGCUGCUCUGGUUUGUGAGGGCAGGUCCAGGCUGCCUUUAUGUUCAUUCACCAGGGCCCACACCCAGCUGCUCCCAUCUCUUUCUGCCUCUUCUUUCUCUCCCCCACCGUCCCCCUCCCUCCACCCUGGGCUCAUGGGCCUGCCUGGAGGUCCCCGGCCCUCUCAGUCAGGGAGCCUCAGCGAUAGACGGAGCCCCGCCCAGGAGGACAGGCAUGGGGGUUGCUGACCCGGCCAGCAGCACGGCCAGGCAGGCCCGCAUGCGGGAGGGGCAGGGCCAGCCGGCUUAUCGCCCGCAGCGCCUGCAGCUCCAGACUGCCCUUCCUCUCUCCUGCCCGCGGCCGUCUGGGACUGCAGACACCGGAAGGGACCGUCCCGAUGGCUAAACAAACACAAACCACGGGGCGGCCUCGCUCCCCGCCUCUCCCACCCCCUAAUCCGCCUUUUCCUCGGACCCAGAGGGUCACCGGUGAGGCAGGGGCAGAAGGCUGCGUCCCCAGCCCUGGGCUCCAGCCCAGUGGCCGCUGAGGCUGAGCUGGUCCUGGGGAGCCCACAGAAGGAUCUAGAGAGUAGAGGCCCUUUGGGUUCUGCCUGCCACAGGCCUGUGUCUGCGGCUUCCUCGCUGUGUGAUAAAUCCCUUCCUCUCCAGAGCCUGUUUCCCCCGGAAGGAGCACAUUGG